rnacentral:rRNA from 1 species
GUUGAACGCUGGCGGCGUGCUUAACACAUGCAAGUCGAACGAAGCAUUUAAGACAGAUUACUUCGGUUUGAAGUCUUUUAUGACUGAGUGGCGGACGGGUGAGUAACGCGUGGGUAACCUGCCUCAUACAGGGGGAUAGCAGCUGGAAACGGCUGGUAAUACCGCAUAAGCGCACAGUACCACAUGGUACAGUGUGAAAAACUCCGGUGGUAUGAGAUGGACCCGCGUCUGAUUAGCUUGUUGGCGGGGUAACGGCCCACCAAGGCGACGAUCAGUAGCCGACCUGAGAGGGUGACCGGCCACAUUGGGACUGAGACACGGCCCAGACUCCUACGGGAGGCAGCAGUGGGGAAUAUUGCACAAUGGAGGAAACUCUGAUGCAGCGACGCCGCAUGAGUGAAGAAGUAGUUCGCUAUGUAAAGCUCUAUCAGCAGGGAAGAUAGUGACGGUACCUGACUAAGAAGCUCCGGCUAAAUACGUG